rnacentral:tRNA from 1 species
GGGGUAUUAGCUCAGCUGGGAGAGCACCUGCUUUGCAAGCAGGGGGUCAGCGGUUCGAUCCCGCUAUGCUCCACCA